rnacentral:lncRNA from 1 species
AGGGUUGAAUAUGUCGAGUGCAUGCAAAAGUUUAUGUUAAUCUAACGGAACAGAUAGAGGAUAUUUGACCAUUAAUAUAAAGAGGUAUCGAAAGUUAAGAGAUUGAAAUUGUUUAAGGUUUUUGUAAUAUCUGGAGAUCUACCGAGUGAAAUAAGUUGACUUUUGACGUGGUAAGUCAAGGACUUGUAGGCGGCGGUCAAGAUACAUCAGUGUGGAUUUAUGGCAUU